GGAGACUUUCUUCUCGAAUACAAAGGGGAUCUGAUAACACGAGUAAAACAUGCACGGCAAUUAGAAAAGGAGUAUGAAAAGGAGAGUCAAGGCAGCUUCAUUUACUUUUUUAAAUACAGAGACAAAUCUUGCUGCAUUGACGCUACCAACGAUAUAUUUCAUGAGGGUCGAAUGAUAAAUGAUGCCGAAAAUGGAGACGCAAAACAAAAUUGUGUAAUGAAAAUAGUUGAAGUCAACCAAGCUCCCCAUCUAUGCACUUUCGCCGACAGAGACAUUGCAAUUGGCGAGGAACUCCGAUAUGAUUAUGGAGUACCAACACUUCCAUGGAGAAAGGCAACACAAUGACUACUAGAUCUACGGACAGCCAGGAACCAGGACAAACAACAUCCAUACACACGGAAGAAGUCAAUGAGACGAAAUGCACGGAACAAUAAAGGGCAACACAAUGACUACUAGAUCUACGGACAGCCAGGAACCAGGACAAACAACAUCCGUACACACGGAAGAAGUCGAUGAGACGAAAAGGGUACUUCAAAUACCAGGAGAACAAAACAAGCAGCCAAAAAGCAAUGGAGUGAAAACGAAAAAGGAGCUGUUCACAGACACUUUGAUCGUUUUUUGAUAAUGGGUAAAUUACAAGGGAAAAAAGAAAUACUUGCAUGUAUUUAAAGUGAGAAUUACCUUCACAACAGAAGUUGGAAAAAUGUCAAAGACUUUUGCAGAAAUUUAAUUAAAACAAAAAAGCGACGGGGACUUUUAACUUAAAAAAAUAUAACACAUAUAAUGCACGUUUAGGAGAAUACGUUAAAGGAUGAAGUUGCCACAUUUUUUUUGUGUUUUCUUGUUCUAUAUACUCUUUUCGAAAACGAUAUAUGUGUGCUUAUUGUAUUUGAAUGUUUUAUUAAUACGGUUCAGUCAAAAACGAUAUUUGUUCAUAAUCAUAUCGCCAAACAAAUUAGGAAUGGUAUAUAGUUCGGCCAAACAGUGUUUCUUUGUACUUUCUAUUACGAGUUUCUACGAGUUACUCACUAUACAAGUUUUUUUUACCCUAAACUUGGUGAAUAUGAAUGAAUAUAGCAAACAUGAUAACAAAUCAAUCUAGAAGGCUAAACGUUCAGAGAAGGCACAAAAAAAUUCAGUCGGAUAAAUGGAAACAAACAUUUUGUUCAAGCAUAACAAACAAACACUUUUAGAUGUAAUAAGAUAAAUGUAAAUAACAUAAAAAAACUACUGCUAAACUACUGCUACAAUAUGAAGAAUACAAAUGAAUGUUUUGUCAAUUUUACAAAAUUUGUUUUGAAUGACAUGUGUCUGACUGGCAGUUGAGUACUUAAGAGUUAUUUUAAAGUAAAC